GACGAACGUUGGCGGCGCGCCUAACACAUGCAAGUCGAACGAGCGAGAGAGAGCUUGCUUUCUCGAGCGAGUGGCGAACGGGUGAGUAACGCGUGAGGAACCUGCCUCAAAGAGGGGGACAACAGUUGGAAACGACUGCUAAUACCGCAUAAGCCCACGGCUCGGCAUCGAGCAGAGGGAAAAGGAGCAAUCCGCUUUGAGAUGGCCUCGCGUCCGAUUAGCUAGUUGGUGAGGUAAUGGCCCACCAAGGCGACGAUCGGUAGCCGGACUGAGAGGUUGAACGGCCACAUUGGGACUGAGACACGGCCCAGACUCCUACGGGAGGCAGCAGUGGGGAAUAUUGCACAAUGGGGGAAACCCUGAUGCAGCGACGCCGCGUGGAGGAAGAAGGUCUUCGGAUUGUAAACUCCUGUUGUUGGGGAAGAUAAUGACGGUACCCAACAAGGAAGUGACGGCUAACUACGUGCCAGCAGCCGCGGUAAAACGUAGGUCACAAGCGUUGUCCGGAAUUACUGGGUGUAAAGGGAGCGCAGGCGGGAAGACAAGUUGGAAGUGAAAUCUAUGGGCUCAACCCAUAAACUGCUUUCAAAACUGUUUUUCUUGAGUAGUGCAGAGGUAGGCGGAAUUCCCGGUGUAGCGGUGGAAUGCGUAGAUAUCGGGAGGAACACCAGUGGCGAAGGCGGCCUACUGGGCACCAACUGACGCUGAGGCUCGAAAGUGUGGGUAGCAAACAGGAUUAGAUACCCUGGUAGUCCACACCGUAAACGAUGAUUACUAGGUGUUGGAGGAUUGACCCCUUCAGUGCCGCAGUUAACACAAUAAGUAAUCCACCUGGGGAGUACGACCGCAAGGUUGAAACUCAAAGGAAUUGACGGGGGCCCGCACAAGCAGUGGAGUAUGUGGUUUAAUUCGACGCAACGCGAAGAACCUUACCAAGUCUUGACAUCCCUUGACAGGCAUAGAAAUAUGUUUUCUCUUCGGAGCAAGGAGACAGGUGGUGCAUGGUUGUCGUCAGCUCGUGUCGUGAGAUGUUGGGUUAAGUCCCGCAACGAGCGCAACCCUUAUGGUCAGUUACUACGCAAGAGGACUCUGGCCAGACUGCCGUUGACAAAACGGAGGAAGGUGGGGAUGACGUCAAAUCAUCAUGCCCUUUAUGACUUGGGCUACACACGUACUACAAUGGCGUUAAACAAAGAGAAGCAAGACCGCGAGGUGGAGCAAAACUCAGAAACAACGUCCCAGUUCGGACUGCAGGCUGCAACUCGCCUGCACGAAGUCGGAAUUGCUAGUAAUCGUGGAUCAGCAUGCCACGGUGAAUACGUUCCCGGGCCU
rnacentral:rRNA from 1 species